AUUGAACGCUGGCGGCAGGCCUAACACAUGCAAGUCGAACGAGUGGCGGACGGGUGAGUAAUGUCUGGGAAACUGCCUGAUGGAGGGGGAUAACUACUGGAAACGGUAGCUAAUACCGCAUACCAUCGGAUGUGCCCAGAUGGGAUUCGCUAGUAGGUGGGGUAAAGGCUCACCUAGGCGCCGAUCCCUAGCUGGUCUGAGAGGAUGACCAGCAACACUGGAACUGAGAGAAGGUCCAGACUCCUACGGGAGGCAGCAUGGGGGAAUAUUGCACACGGGGCGCAAGCCGGAUGCAGACAUGCCGCGAGUAUGAAGAAGGCCUUCGGGUUGUAAAGUACUUUCAGCGGGGAGGCGUUACCCGCAGAAGAAGCACCGGCUAACUCCGUGCCAGCAGCCGCGGUAAUAC
rnacentral:rRNA from 1 species